AGCAUAAUCAUUAGUUUUUUAAUUGAAGGCUAGAAUGAAUGGUUGGACAAGAAAUAAUCUGUCUUAAUUAAAGAUAUUGAAUUUAACUUUUAAGUGAGAAGGCUUAAAUGAUCUAAAGGGACGAUAAGACCCUAUAAAACUUUAUAUUUAAGAGUAGAAAUUAGUUUUAUUUAAAGAUUACUAUUAUAUAAUAUUUGGUUGGGGCGACAGGGAUAAAAUAUAGAGUAACUGUCUUUUUUUAUUUACAAUAAUAUUUGGGCUUAUGAUCCUAAAAUGGAUUAAAGAUUAAGUUACUUUAGGGAUAACAGCGUUAUUUUCUUUAAGAGUUCUUAUCGACAGGAAAGUUUGCGACCUCGAUGUUGAAUUAAAGGUUCUUUAUAGAGUAGAGACUAUAAUAGAAGGUCUGUUCGACCUUUAAAAUUUUACAUGAUUUGAGUUCAGACCGGUGUGAGCCAGG
rnacentral:rRNA from 1 species